GAGAAAGGGUCCUUCGGGACCCGAGUAAAGUGGCGGACGGGUGAGUAACACGUGGGUUACCUGCCCUCGAGUGGGGAAUAACUCCGGGAAACUGGAGCUAAUACCGCAUACGACCCUUCGGGGUGAAAGGCUUCGGUCGCUCGAGGAUGGGCCCGCGGUCGAUUAGCUAGUUGGUAGGGUAAAGGCCUACCAAGGCUCCGAUCGAUAGCCGGCCUGAGAGGGCACACGGCCACACUGGCACUGAGACACGGGCCAGACUCCUACGGGAGGCAGCAGUGGGGAAUCUUGGACAAUGGGGGAAACCCUGAUCCAGCGACGCCGCGUGACCGAUGAAGGCCCUCGGGUCGUAAAGGUCUUUCGACGGGGACAAUAGUGAUGGUACCCGUAUAAGAAGGAGCGGCUAACUACGUGCCAGCAGCCGCGGUAAUACGUAGGCUCCAAGCGUUGUUCGGAAUUACUGGGCGUAAAGCGAGUGUAGGCGGUCCGUCAAGUCGGUUGUGAAAUCUCCUG
rnacentral:rRNA from 1 species